rnacentral:rRNA from 1 species
CAGCAGCCGCGGUAAUACGUAGGGGGCAAGCGUUGUCCGGAAUUAUUGGGCGUAAAGCGCGCGCAGGCGGUUUCUUAAGUCUGAUGUGAAAGCCCCCGGCUCAACCGGGGAGGGUCAUUGGAAACUGGGAAACUUGAGUGCAGAAGAGGAGAGUGGAAUUCCACGUGUAGCGGUGAAAUGCGUAGAGAUGUGGAGGAACACCAGUGGCGAAGGCGACUCUCUGGCCUGUAACUGACGCUGAGGAGCGAAAGCGUGGGGAGCGAACAGGAUUAGAUACCCCUGUAGUCCCUGUCUCUUAUAC